AUUGAACGCUGGCGGCAGGCCUAACACAUGCAAGUCGAACGAGUGGCGGACGGGUGAGUAAUGUCUGGGAAACUGCCUGAUGGAGGGGGAUAACUACUGGAAACGGUAGCUAAUACCGCAUACCAUCGGAUGUGCCCAGAUGGGAUUAGCUAGUAGGUGGGGGAAAGGCGCACCUAGACGACGAUCCCUAGCUGGUCUGAGAGGAUGACCCGGCACCCGGGAACUGAGACACGGUCCAGACUCCUACGGGAGGACGCAGUGGGGAAUAUUGCACAAUGGGCGAAAGCCUGAUGCAGCCAUGCCGCGUGUAUGAAGAAGGCCUUCUGGUUGUAGAGUACUUUCAGCGGGGAGGCGUUACCCGCAGAAGAAGCACCGGCUAACUCCGUGCCAGCCGCCGCGGUAAUAC
rnacentral:rRNA from 1 species